rnacentral:tRNA from 2 species
GGAGAUAUGCCAGAGAGGCCGAUUGGGUGCGACUGCUAAUCGCAUGGGGGUAACACCUCCGCAGGUUCGAAUCCUGCUAUCUCCGC